rnacentral:rRNA from 1 species
GGUGUUCAGUCAUUGACCUGGGGACAGUUGUUUACUCGAAGUCCAACUCCGAUUUUGGCUUUGGAUUUGUUCCGUAGAGGGUGAAAGGCCCGUACGAGUAAACACUUACGGUAUCAAGCUGUUUCCUAAUGGUCAGUGACAUGGAGUCGGAUUGCUUGAGAAUGCAG